rnacentral:rRNA from 1 species
UACGGAAGGCAGCAGUGGGGAAUCUUGCGCAAUGGGCGAAAGCCUGACGCAGCCAUGCCGCGUGAAUGAUGAAGGUCUUAGGAUUGUAAAAUUCUUUCACCGGGGACGAUAAUGACGGUACCCGGAGAAGAAGCCCCGGCUAACUUCGUGCCAGCAGCCGCGGUAAUACGAAGGGGCUAGCGUUGCUCGGAAUUACUGGGCGUAAAGGGCGCGUAGGCGGAUCGUUAAGUCAGAGGUGAAAUCCCAGGGCUCAACCCUGGAACUGCCUUUGAUACUGGCGAUCUUGAGUAUGAGAGAGGUAUGUGGAACUCCGAGUGUAGAGGUGAAAUUCGUAGAUAUUCGGAAGACACCAGUGGCGAAGGCGACAUACUGGCUCAUUACUGACGCUGAGGCGCGAAAGCGUGGGGAGCAAACAGGGAUUAGAUACC